rnacentral:sRNA from 1 species
UUUGUAUAUUAAAUCCUUACCUCACACGAGUACUCUCGCCACAAAGAGUUCAUCAACAAUUACCUACUGUACUAUGGUGGAUCAUUGAAAGAAUUCAAAAGGGAUACGUCUAAAGAUAAGACUGAUGCUGAUGUCAUUCGAGAGAAUCAUCAGUUUUUAUGGGAUGAAACAGAUGACAGUCUGUCUUGGGAAAAGAAACUGGCUAAGCGCUACUAUGAUAAACUAUUCAAGGAGUAUUGUAUUGCAGAUUUAAGUCGUUACAAAGAAAACAAAGUA